rnacentral:rRNA from 1 species
UAGGGAAUCUUCGGCAAUGGACGAAAGUCUGACCGAGCAACGCCGCGUGAGUGAAGAAGGUUUUCGGAUCGUAAAACUCUGUUGUUAGAGAAGAACAAGGACGUUAGUAACUGCACGUCCCCUGACGGUAUCUAACCAGAAAGCCACGGCUAACUACGUGCCAGCAGCCGCGGUAAUACGUAGGUGGCAAGCGUUGUCCGGAUUUAUUGGGCGUAAAGCGAGCGCAGGCGGUUUCUUAAGUCUGAUGUGAAAGCCCCCGGCUCAACCGGGGAGGGUCAUUGGAAACUGGGUGACUUGAGUGCAGAAGAGGAGAGUGGAAUUCCAUGUGUAGCGGUGAAAUGCGUAGAUAUAUGGAGGAACACCAGUGGCGAAGGCGGCUCUCUGGUCUGUAACUGACGCUGAGGCUCGAAAGCGUGGGGAGCAAACAGG